GGGGGGGUAAGCCCAGUGUUAGAGCGUUUGACUGCAGAUCAACAGGUCUCUGGUUCAAGUCUGGGCGCGCCCU